rnacentral:rRNA from 1 species
AGGACGAACGCUGGCGGCGUGCUUAACACAUGCAAGUCGAGCGGUAAGGCCUUUCGGGGUACACGAGCGGCGAACGGGUGAGUAACACGUGGGUGAUCUGCCCUGCACUCUGGGAUAAGCCUGGGAAACUGGGUCUAAUACCGGAUAUGACCUGCUCUCGCAGUGGGGGGUGGUGGAAAGUAUUUAU